UGAGGAUGACAGGACAAUGCUGUGAGGU
rnacentral:piRNA from 1 species